CUGGGGCUCAAGCCCUUUGCUGACACCGCGACGCUGAUUAUUUCAUCGGCCACUCAAGGAUCAUCCCCGCCGAUCAUGGGUUUAGCGCAAAGCAUCAAAGAGGAGCAAGAGGAGGAAUGGAAGUUUCUUUCCAUGUGGAGAGGACGUGAGGAGUGAAGAACCCGACGAGGAGGAAGCCAAACGUUACAGCCCCGUGCGCUCCAUCUAUUGUCACACACAGCGGAGAAGAAGGCGGCUCACUCAGUUGGAGCGCCUUUUUAUCCCGGUCCGGGGAGAGGAGGGGCGAUCAGCUGUCAUCCUCGCACUCGGAUGGGUUCGCGAAGCCCCCGCGACGAGUAAAAAAUAAAUAAAUAAAUAACAAUUAAAACUGUUGACGCUCCAUGGCGGCGCGACAAGGGCGCAGGUUACUCAGGUCUGACAGUCCGACGUGAGGGUCCAGGGAGCAGAUCCGUCCAUGUGCUUCGGUUCCGUUCCCUCUCACGGCAGGUGCAAUUCCCCCAAAGUGUCCGAGUCCGCCAUGGGUGCGUAGAAAGACCCCAAUCAUACAAGCUCACCUGAAUUAAAGUGAUGCACGCUGGUGUGCUGCUGCUAGCCGCGAUGCGCUGCCCUGUGUUGUUGUUCCUGUCAUGAGCUUUCUUUCACCCCCCUUUAAAACGGCCGCAACAACAGAGCCAGAGCCGCUUGACAAGCAGUGCGGGGGGAGAGAAAACAGCGGAUCUCCGGGAGACUUUUGCCGCAGAGAAAGCAAACGCAGACAGACACGAACAUGGUUUUUGUUGUGCCGUACAAUGGGAAAACGUAAGGGUAUCCUCCUUCUAUACGCCCAUCAAUUGAGCAGCAUCACAACGGUACGGAGCAACCGAACCUGGGUGGACUGGGAGUGGCAAGCCAGCCGACCAAUUGCAAGUCUGCAAACGGAGUAGAGUAGGCGGGAUGACGACGUUCAACCUGAUCAGGUUUUUUUAAUUAUUUUAUUUUAUUUCGGUAGCGUGCUUGUAUGAUCCAUCAUUUAAUAACUGAAUUCAUAACCUAAAACAUGUCCAGCUCUUCCACAGGAAACAGAUGUAUAGUGUUGAUCUUCUGUUUAUGGUAAACUGAACUGGAAAAAGACAGUUAGGUCUGUCUCAAUAAGUAACUAAUGGCAUGACAAAUUGAAAUAUGCUCAAUUA